AGCCGGGGUCUGCCAGGGAUGGAAGGACGCAAGAUGGUUGUUCUUCGGGGCUGGGCUUUAUACACUAUUUGCGGAGAAACCUUUUUAUCUAUAAUCCCGAUAUGAAACAAAGCAUAACCCUACCCGUAACCCGCUCUCAAAUCAAACGUUUUUGUUCAAGAAGAAUAGUUUUAGUUUGCAUUUACUUUUUGAGACACGAUCCUGUUCUUGAUCAAUACAUAGUAGUUUACAAUGUUGUUACAUGUUCAUAUAUUUUGAGAGGAUAAACUCAGACCAUUGGAUCUUAGUACUACAAGCAGGAGGCUCGUGGUAAAUAAUCGAGUUUGAACAGCCUCACGUGCCUACAAGAAUAGGACUUUGCUUCAAUGGGGUUAUUUUUUAUUUUGCUUACACAUGGUAAAUCAUAAAAAAAAAUUUAAAGAUAAAACUUGGUUAAUAUAAAAUCGUAUAACAUUAUUUUCUUAAAAAAACGAGAUUUGAAAAGAUACUUACCCACUUGUCAAACUUCUUUUAAGAGAAAUUCUUGAAACUAAGAAGACAAGAUUUAAAAAGAUAAGGUCAAAACAUAUUUGUAAAAGAAAUUUACUAAUAAGGUAAGAUAUUAUUUAGUAGUUUAAAAAGACCUUCCACAUAAUUUUUUUAAUAAAUCCUACACAUUAAUGCCUCUGUACUCCAAUCAUUUAGAUAAAAAAAAUGAAACACCUCGUACUUUUUAUAUUAGUUACUACAUACUUUACACUAAAUGAAGCUUGCAAAAAAAAAAUUCGUGUUGAACUUCAUAACUCGGUCCUGGUAAACUUCUCAAGUUCCAUUGUGUUUCGCUCAAAGAUAAUUUAGGAAAUCAAACACUUAGCCUUCAAUGCCUCUCCAUAUAUCAUCGCAUUCCGUGACGAAGUAAUUCAUGUAACAGCAUGGAAAUGUUUGUUAAGGCAAGGAGCAAACAUGGAAUAUUUUUAUGAAACUGAAGUAUACAAAGCAGGAGACAGAAUUAUUCCCUUAUUUGUCACUGAAAUUAUAUUAAGAAGCCCAAAAGGAAACAUGUCUUAGCCCAAGUUUAAUACAGACUGGCGAAGAGACGCGUUUGUUUUCUGAUCUCGAAACAUGAAAGAAGAAGAUAGAGGCGAAAACAGUAAAGAUUGAUCGGAUAUCUGUUACAACUCCGAGAAUCUCCUUUCUCUGCGAUUUGCAGGUGAUUUCUCUAAGGAGCGUUGUGCAAUCAGUGAAAACUCUGAGAUCAGGGAUCUCCAGUUCCACUGCCCUAGAAAGAGCCUACCGAACCACCAGCUACGAGGGUUCCAUUUUCGUUGAUCAGAGGUGAUGAUCCCGCGAAAGUCCAUGUAAGUCCUUCUCUCUUCCAGACAGAAUUAUCAAUAUAUGUGGCCAGAUACGUGUAUGGACGGCCAAACUUAAUGGGAUAUAAUUUUCAAGAAACCUUGAUACACCACCCGUUUUAGCACUACUUUGGAAUAAAGAAUAAUGUAUUUCUAUUUUUUUUCAGGAAACUAUAAGCUAUAUCAAAAUAUUAUAGUAAUAUAUGAGUUUAUGUGAUAUAGUAUAUGUUUGUCUGAUAAAUUUCUGAUGAGGUUCAAGAACGUCUCAUAGCUCUGGUAUUGUUUUAUCCAUUCCCGAUGUUUUAGCUACUGUUAUCUUAUGGUCACAUCCCCACAUCGUCUAUACAUGAGUCUGAUAGACCACCAUGUGUGUACUGGGUUCAGUGGAGAGCUGAAAUAAUGAUAUGAGAAAGGUUAUAAUCAAAGGAAUAAUUGACCACUGGUUUGGUAAGCUUAACACUAAUUCGAGUUUUUACUUCAUACUUUAUACUUUAUUGACACAAACAUCAUGCACUUGAAACUUAGGUUCCAAUUAGAAACUCUUUAUUCUCAGAAGUAUAAAAAAAUAAUUAAACAAUAGAAAAAUUAAUUAAAUUAUGUUAAAACUUUAAAAUAUGCUGAAUGAGAAACUUCAAAAAUGUUUUUUACAAAAUUGGAUAAACUUUUAGAAAUAAAUUAUAUAAACAAAAUUUUAAAACUUGAUACAUUAUUUAAUGGGAAAUUUUCCAAAAAUGAUUUAAUACUUUAUUUUAAAAGCAAAAGUAUAUUCCAAAUUCCAUCAAAUGCAAAAGUAAUCUAAAACGGUAGUGAAAUUACAAAUAUAUCUUAAUGAUCAAACAAAACACUUGUCAUCACUUUUACGAUUAUAACCAUGCAAAGUCAUUUAUAAAAUUUAUUCAAAAAUAGAUGAAAAAUAAAUUGAAAUCAUGUAAUUCUAAAUGAUGUAAAUUAAUAUUUUCUAAAAUUAAAUUGGUUUCAACAUAUUUGAAGGAAUAGAGGUUGUAAGUCAAGAUUGUCCUUGGUUUAGGGUUUGGUAACGUAUUAUUGUUUGUACUUUUAGGGUUAGAUUUUAGAAUCUAAAUUCUUUUAAAAUAAAAUAAAUCUGACAUAUAUGUGUUUAAUUUUGUAUAUAUUACAUAUUUUAUAAGUUGAUAUUAUGGUUAAUGAAUUGUUUGUUGUUAUUUAAUUAGUUAUUUGAUUUAAAGGUUUAAAAGACUUCUUAGAAAUUUUUCUAACAUAUGAUGCAUUAGAAAAGUUCUUGGGAAGUCUUACGGGAUGAAUAUUAAAUUUAGGAUCUAGAAGACUUCUCUAGAAGCUCUGAACCAAAAAUAUUUAUCCUAGUUAGAAUUUUGGCCUCCUUAUAUAAUGUUUUUUACACAUUCUCUAUCUUAUUCUCAAAUAACUACAACAAAAAUAUAAUGUUUCUCACUCUAAAAUUCUCCAACCUCUGUCUAGUCUUUUAAACUCGAAGACAACAAACUUUAAAUCAAUUUCUCAUCUAUUUCUCUCAUGUCUUUCUUACUACUUUAUCUUGUUUUUUGCAGGUUUUUCAUUUAUGGUUUUCAUCUUCCACUACUUUAAAUGUAGAUCUAUAAAUUUUAGAUAUCGAUUUUUGUGUGUGUUUAUAUGUUAGAUUUGAAAAACUGUAGAUUUAAACUAACAUGAUUGUUUUAUGUAUUAUUUCAACAUAAAAAAAUAUAUUUCUGAAGUUUUUUCUGCUUUGAAGCCAUUUUAAUGUUUUGGAUAUGCAUGUUUUCAAAUUCCGAGGACAAUAUCGACCUUCAAACUUCAUUAGCCGACUUCUUUUUUUGGGUCAACAUUAGCAGACUUCUUCAGAAGACCUUUGGAGAAGACUUCUUCAGAAAACUUUUGGAGAAGACUUCUGCAAAAAGACUUCCAGAGAAGUCUACUAUGAAAAUUACCAAAUUUGGAGUUUGUGGAUGUGGGUGAUGCGGUUUCUAGUGUUAUUAAACAAUUUAUACGACUGGUACAUCGGUUAUAAAUUGGUGCCUUUGCAGAAAAUUUAGAAAAUUUGUGACUGGUUGAUUAAGAGAUAUUGUAGCGGUUCAAUAAGAAAUUAUCAACAUUAACACAAUAACAUUAUAAAAUAUCUAAAACA